AGUAAGGUUAGUUAACACAUCCGUUACCUUACAUAGUUUCAUUUUUUUUCCUCUAUCAUCUGUUUUUUCAAACAUACAGUACAGUAUUGUUAACUACAGUCACCUGACUGUAUAUUACAUCCACAGAAUUUGUUCAUUUUAUUUUUAUAACUGGAAGUUUACUCUUUAUAACUGGAAGUGUACUCUUUUUCACCAUCUUAUUUCCAAAUUUUAUAGUGAUAAUAUGAAGUGUAAAAACCGCAUAUCUGUUAAGAUGAUAAACAAAUAAGCAUAGUGGGAUAUGUAUCUUUUUAUGCAUUUUGAAUUAUUUCCUUGGUCUGAAUUUUCGGAAGGAAAUGGCCUUGAGAGCCAAACUGGCCUCUGAAGAAUUUGACAAAAGCACACGAUAGCUUUCACAGCAGAGGGCUUGCUUCACUGAACCCUCCUGGUCAGCAGCAGGUAUAAAAAGAACAAAACGCAAAACAAGACAGUCUUAUUUUGAGAGAGGAGAUUUUGCAGCUGCAGGAGCUGCUGUUGAGCUCACUUCUGCAGGUAAGAUGCCUUCAAAUGGCCCUGGACACAGAGAGGAGAAACCGUCAGAGCAGCUAGAGAUGGCAAGCCUGUGAUGAUCAGAGCCAACAUAGAAAAUCUAGGAUAUAGUGAAGCAAAGAAGAGGAAAAUAAAACAGUCCUUUAGUCCUAUCCCCAAAGAUACAACUGACAACCUCUACUGUAUCGCCUUCCAGAUUCUCUCUCUCUUACAAUUGGGGCCAUACUUUAGUCUAAUAAUAUUCUGUGCCUUUUAAAAAACAGUCUUUUCUUGUCAUUAUACAUUCUUCAUAUCUAUCUAUCUAUCUAUAUAUAGAGAGAGAUAAAAUUGAAACUGCUUUAUUGUUUUGUCUGGCUAUAAAUGUAAUACACAGAUGGAAGACAUGCCCAUGCAUAAACAAGAAGGUGAAAAUCACCUGUAAUCUGCCACGCCCCCCAACCCCUGUAACAGUCAGAGUUAUAAUUUUGGCAUGUACUCUGACUAUUCUUUCUAAUGCAUGUUUCUUGCACACAGCUAAUUCCCCUCCCUUCCAAGAUUGGGUUCAUAUAACAUAUAAUGUUUUAUAACACACAGCUAAUUCCCCUCCCUUCCAAGAUUGGGCUCAUAUAACAUAUAAUGUUUUAUAACCUGCUUUUUAAAUUUAAAAAUACAUUGUGAAUAUCUUUCCAGUUAUUAAUAUUCUUGUACAGCAUUAUUUCAAUAGCUCUCAUUAUAUAAUAUGGUGCAUUCUCAUUUAUUUCACUGAAUACUUAGGUUUUUUGCAUGUUUUCAGUAUGCUCACAGUAAUGUGAUGCAUGUUUUUGCCAUUAAUAAUCCUUGUGCAUAACCAUAAUAACCUUUUCAUGAUAAAUUCAUAGAAGUAGAAUUGCUGGACCAAAAAAUGUGCACAACUUUAAGGCUCUUGAUACUAUAACCAAUUGCCCUUCACCAUGGCAGCACAGUCUGCACUCCCAGCAACAGAAUGCGAAUGGGCUCCUUUAUUCACACACUCAUCUACCUGAAAUAUUAUAUCUGGUGAAUAAUUUUGGUGAUCUGUAAAAUACAUUUCUAAAAUGCACUCCUUUUUUGUAUAUUUGUUGUCUAAACAACUCCAAUCUAUAUUAGAAACAAGUCUAUAUUUAAUUUUUAUUAGAGUUUAUUAUUCAUUAAAUUACCAACCUCUGGCUUCUUUCUUUCAGUAUAUAUAUUUUUAAAACAUUCACUUGUUUAAACCACCUGGAAAUUCUUUUGGUCUGAAAUGUGAAGGGCUAAAACUUAAAUUUUUUUCAAAUAGCUAACCAAUUGGUUCAGCACACUUUAUCAUAUAAUUCACCCUUUCCCCAUGUGUGUAAAUGCCACCUGUAUCAUGUAAUCCACAUAUUCUAGUGGGUUUAUUCUUAUGUCACUUAAUUUUAAUUAUUGAAAUCAGGAAUUGUAAGUUGACCAGUAUAUACCUAGUAGCUGAUAAUCUCACUGUGGGGAAGAGGCUCUAGCCUUGGAGAAAGUAAACCUUUCUGAUUCUAAAAAGAUGGGUGAGUCUUAUUCCUCCAUCUCUGCAAUUUACCCCUCUGCUAAGACCUAAGGAUGGGGAAAACAGGACGUCCUCAUGGCCAGGAAGCAGGAAUCUAGAAUUCAGAACAAGGCUAACCAGCAAUGAAGCCCUGGGGUCACAGUGAAAAACAAGAUCCACCUUAGGGAUUCUGACACUUUGGAAGUCAGCUAAGUUCUGGGACCCUCAUAAGAAAUUAAAAACGAAGAGUUUGGGGCACUCUGAAAAUACUGUUCUCAAGCUUUUAGAUCAAUAAAUAAAUCCAUAGAGUCACACCUCAGUUAAGUCAAUGACCUCGCCGUCCCUGUGCUUGAAAUACCAGCUUUUUAAAUGUAGGAAAUAAUAAUAUGUUUAGCCACUUUAAUAACAAAUUCUACUUCUGUGAAAAAAAGAGGUACAAAUUAGUGUAAAUAGUGCUUUCUUAUCUAACCCUACUUCUGAGCAAGCUGGGUAUUCACACCACAAACCCAGUCAGGACAAUGCACCUCAAUCCGGGGUGGUGAACUGUACUUUUAGGCAAAAAUAGAGAAAAUAAAUUACCUGGACUGGCUGGAACACUAAAAAUAGAAAGUAAGAGGUGAUACAUCAGAUUAGAUAAAGGACACAGUAACAUCAUUUUUAUGCUGUUCACACAAACCGGCUUGGGUGGGGCAAGUGCUGGACGCUAAUAGGUGGCGCAAGGUUUCUUCCCCACCUCCCAUUCCGUUGCUGGGCUCCCCGUAUUUCCUGCUUCCUUUGUGGGUAAUAGCUUCAUAAACUGCCCGCAGAUCCUUUUGGAACUAGGUAGUGCAAAAAUAAAUAAAAAUACAAUUCUUAGGUGCUUUCCAAUGUAGUGUAAAGUUGAAUUUUAGUAUUCAAUUUAAUAAAAAUGAAAAGAGGAAUUAUUUUGUUUUAAUCUCUCAUCACUUUUUUCAGGGGUGGUUUUGCUUUUUCGCACUCAUGCCCGAUGCUGGCAGCCAGGUGGGUGUCGUCAGUGGCACUUGCCUACACAGGAGGUCACAGCUGCUCAGCUACAGGCAGGUAUAUGGUUUUCUGAUUACUUGCUUUGCAAAAGUCGGAUCAUGUUUUAACUACUCAAGAAGCAUUCCUGGCAAUCUCCCCAAAUCAUUCUUUUAAGUCAUUCUUUUGAUGGCUGCAUGAUAUUUUAGGGUGUGUGUAGAUCACAAUUUAUUUAGUGAUUCCCUAUUGAUGAACUUGGGGUUGCAUCCAGUUUUUGUUUUGCCCAAAUGAAAUUGACAUAAUCAUCUUUGUAUAUAUAUUCUUACAUAAUAAUGCUUUUACUUUAUAGGAGACAUAUUCUUGGGAGUGCUGAGUUAGAGUAUGUGAUUCAUUAUUAGGUUUUGCAAACUGUUUUCCAAAAGGCUGUAGUGUCUCAUAAUACCAUCAGCAACCCCUGUUGGGUGUCCUUGUCCACAUCUUCUCCAGGAUUGAGUGGUAUCACUCUUUUAUGUUUUCACCCACCCAGUG